rnacentral:rRNA from 1 species
AAACUGGGAUUAGAUACCCCACUAUGCCCAGCCGUAAACUUUUAUUUACAUCCAAAUCGCCCGGGAACUACGAGCUAAGCUUAAAACCCAAAGGACUUGACGGUACCCCAUAUCCCCCUAGAGGAGCCUGUCCUAUAAUCGAUAAUCCACGUUUAACCUCACCGCUUCUAGUUAAUCAGCCUGUAUACCUCCGUCGUCAGCUUACCACGUGAGCGUAAAUUAGUGAGCCCAAUGUUAUUUCACCAACACGUCAGGUCAAGGUGCAGCAAAUGAAGUGGGAAGAGAUGGGCUACACUUUCUAUUUUAGAAGAAACGAAAAACUAUUUAUGAAACCUAGUUAGAAGGCGGAUUUAGCAGUAAAAAGAAAUCAGCAUGUUCAUUUUAACCCGGCACUGGGGUGUGUACACACCGCCCGUCACCCUCUGCAGUCAA